rnacentral:rRNA from 1 species
GACGAACGCUGGCGGCGUGCCUAAUACAUGCAAGUAGAACGCUGAAGAGAGGAGCUUGCUCUUCUUGGAUGAGUUGCGAACGGGUGAGUAACGCGUAGGUAACCUGCCUGGUAGCGGGGGAUAACUAUUGGAAACGAUAGCUAAUACCGCAUAAAAUGGAUUAUCGCAUGAUAAUCCAUUGAAAGGUGCAAAUGCAUCACUACCAGAUGGACCUGCGUUGUAUUAGCUAGUUGGUGGGGUAACGGCUCACCAAGGCGACGAUACAUAGCCGACCUGGGAGGGUGAUCGGCCACACUGGGACUGAGACACGGCCCAGACUCCUACGGGAGGCAGCAGUAGGGAAUCUUCGGCAAUGGACGGAAGUCUGACCGAGCAACGCCGCGUGAGUGAAGAAGGUUUUCGGAUCGUAAAGCUCUGUUGUAAGAGAAGAACGAGUGUGAGAGUGGAAAGUUCACACUGUGACGGUAUCUUACCAGAAAGGGACGGCUAACUACGUG